CCCCUAGUAACGGCGAGUGAAGCGGGAAGAGCUCAAGCUUAAAAUCUCCGUGCAAGUUUUGUGCGGCGAAUUGUAGUCUAUAGAAGCGUGGUCAGCAUGGGCACUUGGGGCAAGUUCCUUGGAAGAGGACAGCAUGGAGGGUGAUACUCCCGUUCAUUUCUGAGUUGCUCGUGCGUACGACCCGUUUUCUUUGAGUCGCGUUGUUUGGGAAUGCAGCGCAAAGUAGGUGGUAAAUUCCAUCUAAAGCUAAAUAUUGGUGCGAGACCGAUAGCGAACAAGUACCGUGAGGGAAAGAUGAAAAGAACUUUGAAAAGAGAGUUAAAGAGUACCUGAAACUGCUGAAAGGGAACCGAAUCGUUUCCAGUGUCUAUAAUCCGUGGUAUAUUUCAUUGGCGAGUGUGUGCGUGCGUGUGCUGUGGCAGCGGCUUUUUUGGCUGCGCUCGGCGUGUGUGCUGUGUGUGCUUGCUGGUGCUCUGUGCUGCGGUGGGACGUCAAGGUCAGUUCGUAUGCUGCGGGAAAUGGCUGCCGAGGAGGUAGGGCUUACGCUUGCGUUUGUCUGUUAUAUCUUGGUGGACGAGUAGUCGCGGUUGGGACUGAGGUGCCUACAACGUGCUUUUGAGUGGGUUUGUGUCUCCGUGUGCGCCGUGUGCGGAUAGCUUGCUAUGCGUGUGUGGUUGUGUGUGGAUUGAUGCGAGCUUUAACU
rnacentral:rRNA from 1 species